UACGUAGGGGGCUAGCGUUAUCCGGAUUUAUUGGGCGUAAAGCGAGCGCAGGUGGUUUAUUAAGUCUGGUGUAAAAGGCAGUGGCUCAACCAUUGUAUGCAUUGGAAACUGGUAGACUUGAGUGCAGGAGAGGAGAGUGGAAUUCCAUGUGUAGCGGUGAAAUGCGUAGAUAUAUGGAGGAACACCGGUGGCGAAAGCGGCUCUCUGGCCUGUAACUGACACUGAGGCUCGAAAGCGUGGGGAGCAAACAGG
rnacentral:rRNA from 1 species